rnacentral:rRNA from 1 species
AUUGAACGCUGGCGGCAUGCCUUACACAUGCAAGUCGAACGGCAGCACGGGUGCUUGCACCUGGUGGCGAGUGGCGAACGGGUGAGUAAUACAUCGGAACAUGUCCUGUAGUGGGGGAUAGCCCGGCGAAAGCCGGAUUAAUACCGCAUACGAUCUACGGAUGACAGCGGGGGACCUUCGGGCCUCGCGCUAUAGGGUUGGCCGAUGGCUGAUUAGCUAGUUGGUGGGGUAAAGGCCCACCAAGGCGACGAUCAGUAGCUGGUCUGAGAGGACGACCAGCCACACUGGGACUGAGACACGGCCCAGACUCCUACGGGAGGCAGCAGUGGGGAAUUUUGGACAAUGGGCGAAAGCCUGAUCCAGCAAUGCCGCGUGUGUGAAGAAGGCCUUCGGGUUGUAAAGCACUUUUGUCCGGAAAGAAAUCCUUGGCCCUAAUACGGUCGGGGGAUGACGGUACCGGAAGAAUAAGCACCGGCUAACUACGUG